UUGGAGUGGGGAAAAUUUCCUCCCAGGGAUUUGCAUCAUAUUCCCCAGGCAGCCCCCUGAAGAUCCUGACGAUCUGGGAUGUGCUGGCUACACCCUGCUCCCCGUCAACCAGGAGCGUUACUGAAGUUACAGUAAAACAAUGUCAGGAGACUGACACAAAAGCAAAUCCUUUCAAAGACUGAUUUUGAAUCCUGAUUGAAGAGAUCAAAAGAGAAUAUAAGAAGUUAGAACUCAUUUCUGGGGCACCACCUCGAUGAAAAAGCUGACAAGUUCCUGCUACCCAGAGCCCUGCAGUUGCCACAGCUCAAUCUCUUCUCAACCUGGUGCCCAGCUUUUCCUGUUGAUUCUGCAACUAGGCCAGUCAUCUUUUCAAAAAUUCCUUUUCUGCUUGUUGACUAUCUCUGCUAUUUGCAACCAGAAGUAUUUAGAUAAAAUAUUUUUAAAAUGUA
rnacentral:lncRNA from 1 species